AUUCCAGCUCCAAUAGCGUAUAUUAAAGUUGUUGCAGUUAAAAAGCUCGUAGUUGAACUUCUGGCUAUUCUUCCAGCUGGCUUCGGUCGCUGUAAGAGUGGUCAUCCGCUUGGGAACUACGUUCGAACUUCACCGUUCGGCGUAAGGAACAGGCAUUUUACUUAGAAAAAAUUAGAGUGUUCAAGGCAGGCUAUCGCCCUGAAUACACAAGCUUGGAAUAAUGAAAUAGGACUAUUUCCAUUUUAUUGGUUAUUGGAAUUAGUAAUGAUUAAUAGGGACAGUUGGGGACAUUAGUAUUUAAUUGUCAGAGGUGAAAUUCUUGGAUUUAUUAAAGACUAACUUAUGCGAAAGCAUUUGUCAAGGAUGUUUUCAUUG
rnacentral:rRNA from 1 species